UGAAUUAGAACAGAUUUUAGCAAUGUUCUAUGAUUACGUGGCAGUGAAUGGUUGAGUUUUUUUUUGCAACUGAGAAAAUUUUUCAUUUCUCUUCCUCUUCCUCUUCCGGCCAAAAGUGUCUCUGCUUCGCCGAUUAUGGUGUUCGCGGCCAAGAAAUUCAUCAACAACCCCAACUUAGAUUCGCUCUCGCAGGUCGUUGCUGAGUUCUUCGAGCUUUGUUCUUUUUUUUCUCCAAGAUAAUAAUGGAGUUUGAUAACAUUAGUAUCGAGGAAUCUAUUUUAAUGAGUGGUUCGUGGAGGAUUAGGAAGAAGAGGAGUUUAAAACCGUUUAAGUCUAGAGGUCUUUUUAGCGGUAGGAGUAGUGGUAAGGAAGUAGUAGUAGAAGAAGAAGAGAGUGGGAGGAGCUUGAAAGUGUAUAGCAGGAAAGGGAAUCAUUUUAGAGGUAGUGAGGGUGGUGGUUCAGCGGUUAAAGUAGAAGAGCAAUGCUGAAAAUGUUGCUGAUGUUAGUACUUCCAGUUCGCGUUCACCUGCUUCUGAUGUAUCUGAUCCCCUUCUCAAAAACGGGAUAUCUAAUAAUGACUGCACAAGCAUAAGACAAGAAUCGAAGUCAGGCCCAAAAUUGGACAUGAGAAGGUUUCAGUUCAUCUGCUUGAGGCUCCUCUUACACAUAUAGCCAAUGAAAUAGUACUAACGGUAGCAAAGGCCAUGUCUCUUGAGCCUCGUUCACCAGUCUUUGUUCUUGGAGAUUAGUUAUUUAGCAAUGUUUGAGUUAUUCGAUAACCUUGUGUGUUUAAAUGUACAAUAAAAACACCAAAAUUACAUUAUUUUCUCUAUAUUUUUAUUCUAAGAACACCAAAAUUAGUUCCCCCA